GUCCACGCCGUAAACGAUGUCUACUAGCAGUUGGGUUCCUUGAGGACUUAGUGGCGCAGCUAACGCAAUAAGUAGACCGCCUGGGAGUACGGUCGCAAGAUUAAACUCAAAUGAAUUGACGGGGCCCGCACAAGCGGUGGAGCAUGUGGUUUAAUUCGACGCAACGCGAAGAACCUUACCAGGUCUUGACAUCCAGAGAACUUUCCAGAGAUGGAUUGGUGCCUUCGGGAGCUCUGAGACAGGUGCUGCAUGGCUGUCGU
rnacentral:rRNA from 1 species